AACGUAGGAGACAAACGUUAUCCGGAGUUACUGGGCGUAAAGCGCGCGUAGGCGGCUUUGCAAGUCGGGUGUGAAAUCCCCAGGCUUAACCUGGGAACUGCAUUCGAGACUGCAUUGCUAGAGUAUGGGAGAGGGAAGUGGAAUUUCCGGUGUAGCGGUGAAAUGCGUAGAUAUCGGAAGGAACAUCAGUGGCGAAAGCGACUUCCUGGACCAAUACUGACGCUCAUGUGCGAAAGCGUGGGGAGCAAACAGGG
rnacentral:rRNA from 1 species